GCGCCUGUAGCUCAGUGGAUAGAGUGCCCGGCUACGAACCGGUAGGUCGUGAGUUCGAAUCUCCCCAGGCGCGCCA
rnacentral:tRNA from 1 species